rnacentral:rRNA from 1 species
AGAGUUUGAUCAUGGCUCAGAUUGAACGCUGGCGGCGUGCCUAACACAUGCAAGUCGAGCGGUAACAGGUGUAGCAAUACAUGCUGACGAGCGGCGAACGGGUGAGUAAUGCUUCGGAAUCUACCCAGUAGUGGGGAAUAACCAACCGAAAGGUUGGCUAAUACCGCAUACGUCCUACGGGAGAAAGCGGGGGAUCGCAAGACCUCGCGCUAUCGGAUGAGCCGAAGCCGGAUUAGCUAGUUGGUAGGGUAACGGCCUACCAAGGCGACGAUCCGUAGCUGGUCUGAGAGGACGACCAGCCACACUGGGACUGAGACACGGCCCAGACUCCUACGGGAGGCAGCAGUGGGGAAUAUUGGACAAUGGGGGAAACCCUGAUCCAGCGACGCCGCGUGUGUGAAGAAGGCCUGCGGGUUGUAAAGCACUUUUAGUGGGGAUGAAAAGUGCAGAGCUAACACCUCUGCAUCUUGACCUAACCCACAGAAAAAGCACCGGCUAACUCUGUGCCAGCAGCCGCGGUAAUACAGAGGGUGCGAGCGUUAAUCGGAAUUACUGGGCGUAAAGCGUGCGUAGACGGUAAUGUAAGUCGGGUGUGAAAGCCCCGGGCUCAACCUGGGAAUUGCAUUCGAGACUGCAUUGCUUGGGUGCGGAAGAGGGAAGCGGAAUUUCCGGUGUAGCGGUGAAAUGCGUAGAUAUCGGAAGGAACACCAGUGGCGAAAGCGGCUUCCUGGUCCGACACCGACGUUCAGGCACGAAAGCGUGGGGAGCAAACAGGAUUAGAUACCCUAGUAGUCC